UACGGGGGGGAGCAAGCGUUGUUCGGAUUUACUGGGCGUAAAGGGCGCGUAGGCGGCCAGCACAAGUCAGUUGUGAAAUCUCCGAGCUUAACUCGGAAAGGUCAACUGAUACUGUGCGGCUAGAGUGCGGAAGGGGCAACUGGAAUUCCUGGUGUAGCGGUGGAAUGCGCAGAUAUCAGGAGGAACACCGGUGGCGAAGGCGGGUCUCUGGGCAGUAACUGACGCUGAGGAGCGAAAGCGUGGGGAGCGAACAGG
rnacentral:rRNA from 1 species